rnacentral:rRNA from 1 species
AAUACGUUCCCGGGCCCUGUACACACCGCCCGUCACACCACGAAAGUCGGCAACACCCGAAGCCGGUGGCCCAACCCUUUUGGGAGGGAGCCGUCGAAGGUGGGGUCGGUGAUUGGGGUG